rnacentral:rRNA from 1 species
GACAGAGGGUGCAAACGUUGUUCGGAAUCACUGGGCGUAAAGCGUGUGUAGGCGGCUACAUAAGUCGGAUGUGAAAGCCCCGGGCUCAACCCGGGAAGUGCACUCGAUACUGCGUAGCUUGAGUCUCGGAGAGGUUGGUGGAAUUCUCGGUGUAGAGGUGAAAUUCGUAGAUAUCGAGAGGAACACCGGUGGCGAAGGCGGCCAACUGGACGAAGACUGACGCUGAGACACGAAAGCGUGGGGAGCAAACAGG